rnacentral:tRNA from 1 species
GAGGGUAUAGCUCAGUGGUAGAGUGGGUGCUUAGCAUGCACAAGGUCCUGGGUUCAAUCCUUAGUACCUCCA